GAUGAACGCUGGCGGCGUGCCUAAUACAUGCAAGUCGAGCGAACAGACGAGGAGCUUGCUCCUCUGACGUUAGCGGCGGACGGGUGAGUAACACGUGGAUAACCUACCUAUAAGACUGGGAUAACUUCGGGAAACCGGAGCUAAUACCGGAUAAUAUAUUGAACCGCAUGGUUCAAUAGUGAAAGACGGUUUUGCUGUCACUUAUAGAUGGAUCCGCGCCGCAUUAGCUAGUUGGUAAGGUAACGGCUUACCAAGGCAACGAUGCGUAGCCGACCUGAGAGGGUGAUCGGCCACACUGGAACUGAGACACGGUACAGACUCCUACGGGAGGGAGCAGUAGGGAAUCUUCCGCAAUGGGCGAAAGCCUGACGGAGCAACGCCGCGUGAGUGAUGAAGGUCUUCGGAUCGUAAAACUCUGUUAUUAGGGAAGAACAAAUGUGUAAGUAAAUAUGCACGUCUUGACGGUACCUAAUCAGAAAGCCACGGCUAACUACGUG
rnacentral:rRNA from 1 species